GGAGAGGUGUCCGAGUGGCUGAAGGAGCUCGACUCGAAAUCGAGUAGGCAUCAAAAGUGUCUCGCGGGUUCAAAUCCCGCCCUCUCCGCCA
rnacentral:tRNA from 1 species